AACCCGACUCCGUGAAGCUGGAUUCGCUAGUAAUCGCGCAUCAGCCAUGGCGCGGUGAAUACGUUCCCGGGCCUUGUACACACCGCCCGUCAAGCCAUGGGAGCCGGGGGUACCUGAAGUCCGUAACCGCGAGGAUCGGCCUAGGGUAAAACUGGUGACUGGGGCUAAGUCGUAACAAGGUAGC
rnacentral:rRNA from 1 species